UGUUUUUACUCAUCCUGCUCCUCCGGCGCCGCUUACCAACCGCCACUGCGCCCAUGGCCUCCGCGGCGUCGAAGCAUCUCGAUCUCGAUAUCACCAUAAUCUCUGCUAAACACCUUAAGAACGUUAAUUGGCGAAAAGGCGAUCUGAAACCAUAUGCAACUUUGUACCUAGAUAACUCGGAUCACCGGCUUGCUACUGAUUCCGAUGACUCGGGCUCCACUAAGCCCGUUUGGAACGAGCGAUUCACCCUGCCUAUUACUCGUCCCAAAAGUGAUUCCAUCCUCACUCUCGAGAUCCUUCACUGUGAACCAUCUGAAACUCCUAAGCCUCUUGUUGGUUCUGUAAAGUUUCCACUGAGUCAGCUUCUCGACUCGGACAAUUCCAACAAUUCAGUUCGCACUCUCGAUCUCAUUCGUCCUUCAGGCCGUCCACAAGGUAAGGUCCGCGUGAAACUGGCCGUAAAAGAACAAUCUUUCCAUCCGGUGAUGCAAGAUUACCAUUUUCCCCCCAUGUAUAGUCAUCAUUACAAUCCCGCCCCUACACCUCCGUCUCCUCCGUCGCGCGACUACAGAGAUUCCCCUCCCUCUCCGUACCCUUACUUUGAUCACUAUGGCUACUACUCGUCCUAUUAUCCACAGCAACAGCAUCCCUCUCGACCGUUGUAUAAUCGAGCAUCCAAUUACAACUUGCCAACGGGCCCUUCCGCUCCCGUUGAUCCGUCGUCGUCGUCAUCUUAUGAUCACAGACGGUUGCCAUCGCCGCCGGCAUCGUUGCAGAAGUCUUAUAAUUAUUGUGUACCAAGUGGGCCGUCGGCUCCUAUUGAUUAUUCGUCGGCUUAUGAGAGGAUUAGCGGUGGGAACCAGCUCUCCCGCACAAUGGAAGGGUUAAAACAGGUUCAGGAGGAAGAGAGUAACAACGAGAAGGAGAAAGUUGCGGGUUGGGAAAGUCACAGUUAUCGUGAUUAUCGCCGUGGGUAUUGAAGCAUUUGGUUGAGAGGAAGGUAUAUUUGAGUAAUUUACUGUAGUGUUUGAAGUUUGUAGAUUUGUGGAAUGUACUUGUAUAUGUGUGAAUGAUUAUAACUGCAGAUGCUGUUUUGUUUUCGUAUUUAUGUUUUCAAUUAGUUUUGUGUUUAUUUCAAUUCUUGUUAUAGCAGAGGAGUAUGAAUUGGUUUAACUACAGUCUACAGUGUGUUAGGAUCACUUGGUGUUUGGUUGGAUUUUUUUUUUUUGUUUGUUGCUCUUCCGCAUGGGCUUGCAUUAGGUAUAUCUUUCUGCCCCAUUUGUUGAAACUUCCUAAUUUUCAUAGUUAUAAACGUCAUCUACACUUGCGUCUCUCUUGCUAAUCAAUUCAUGCAAAAUAACAAUAAUUGUUUAAUCUAAUGAGUGUCAGAUGUUGUAUGUCAGCAAUCUAUCCUUUUUGGUUGGUAUGGUUUGUUUUCUGUGGGAAGAAGUCUAGACCUGUGCUUAUGUUUUGUAUACCUUCUGUGGUUCUUUCAAUAGCUGUCUUGUACUGUCAGUUUAUUAGUGGUGUUCAUUAUGAAACAAUAAGUGGUGAAGACAUGCUUGUACCUUUUAACAAAAUAUGAUAGGCUUUCUGAUACAGGUUUAUAUAGUGAUUCUUCCUAGUGUUAUUGUUAUGUUCAUCCUUCCCCGUUAUGGGCAGAGGGUGGCUGUAAUGAAUCACAGCUGGUGAAACACUUCAUGGUCAUUCAUAUAUUGGUUCAUCUCUAUCUUAUUGGACACAAUGCUACUUGUCAUAGACUCUGAGCAAGGAGUUGCGGCCAGUGGGGCAAAGACAGGGCUCUCAGGGAUGGUAUCAAUAAGAUUAUGUAGCAGAUUUUGCUUAUGUGAACUUGGAAACAUAGCACUAUGAUUUUGUUGCUGUUGGGUAACAGCAGCAAUCUGACAUGAGAACUUCAAGCUAAGAUGGAUGGGUACUUUAUAAUGCCUGAAAUGUUGGAUUUCAGAAUGAUGAUCUGGCUAGUGGUAAAGGCGCAGUGAUGAUUUAGCUCAGGUGGGCUACUGAGUGGUUCAACUAACCUGGUUUGCUUAGAAUGAUUAGGUUGGCAUCUAGAAUUGGUUUGCACAUCUCUUAAAUUACUGAAAUAUUUGUUGCUCCUGUUGCUUGUUAUAAGCUUAUUCUGCAAAAUAUGUACCUUAAAAGUUGAAUAUAGAAAUGAAUGUUUCAGGCUUAUGGUCCAAACUGGUGUAAUAUCAUGAAGAAUUGGAAAUCUAUAUUUAAGAGCAGAUUUUUUUUCCCCCA